UCAGUUUUCUUUAAAAGUUUCCAAUUCAAUUCAUUUAUUAAUGUUGCCAUAUCCUAUUUCUCUUAAAAUAUCUUUCAAGCUCAUGGCUCAAGGCAACAAAAAGGUAUUAAAACCAACUUCCUUAUUCUUUACAUCACUUUAAAAAUGAUUGUGACAGACUCACCAAGCUACAAAAGUUACAAGUUACAAAAUAUGCUUAUUCCAAAUGUGACGUACAUAGCUGCUUCUCCAAGGUCUCCAGUUGCACAACAGACUUCACAGCUAUUCAGGGACCAAAAUACAGAACUUUAAUUGAAUACAUAAUUCAACUGUCAUAAGCACAGUUAAUAACUGAAAUAAUUGAGGGCUAUAUAUCCUAUUACUUUAAUCAAGAGAAAGAUAGUGUGAAGCCUUAUCAGAUAUUUGAAGUGUUCUCUCAGUCAUGCUAAUAUUUCUCUCUCUGUUGCUCAGUUGUUUGCAGUCUAACACAUCUGCCAUUUAAUUCAGUUCAAGUGUCACGAACAGUAAAAUAUUAAAAUUCCAUCAGGUGUGCCAUAGAAAUGCAGCUUGCAAAUUAAAGCUUUAUCAAAUAAACUAACUUUAUAACUUCCUUUUCGCUGUUGUGAGGUGAAAAAUUUAAGUCCAACUCCUCUUUGAGGUUGCUAACAACCAUUUGAAUUCAAUGAUAUCACAUUACCUAAUGUAUGAACCAAGUCUGCAAAGCCUGAAGCUGUUCCAUGGACUCCAUCUUCUCUAGUUCAUUUGAAAUCAAUCACACCAGAAAAACUGCGUACUUCAAAAGAUUAAUUCAGCCAUUCUCUGCCUGCUCUAUCUUUCAUUACAGUCAGGCUUUUAUGAAUGCAUUUUGCUUUACACCAAAAUCUAUUUUUAUAGAGUUCAUUUGUAACAAUUCUCAUCUGAACCAUUCAACUCAACAGUUCUGUAAACAGUUUCAUAGCUAUUGAUGAGGGGCAGAACGUCAAAAAACAAAACUUGCAUAAAGAAACAGCUACCGGAAUACACUUACAGCUAGGGAACAUCACCAUUUAUUAUCAAAUGCUCCCAAUCACCCUGAUCAGAAAUGACUAUAUGCACUAGACCUUCAACAAUCUCUGAAGUGAUUCCAGAAAAGGAAGCUGGAGCGAUAUAUCAGCAGGUGAGCAGGAUUCUGAAACAGUGAGAUGGAGUCAGAUAUCAUCCCUAAUUAAAGUUCACUGAAGGGAAGUAGAGAGAAGCAGCAGCAAAACUGGUGGUAUUCUCACAGAGCCUGCUCUGUUUAUUCCAAGAUUCACAAGAAAUAACAUUCCCCAAGUCGUGUCUGUAUCAACUCAAGGCCCGGCCGGUCCCAAGCUAAGCCCCCAAACAAAGCUAAACCUCAGCCAUUCCUAAAUAAAAAUUUCCUACAAAAAAUGUGUCACUUUUGUUAAUUAACACUGUUGAGGCCAGAAAUGCAGCAUCGUGACGAAAGUUACGGUAAAAGAAAUGGAGGUCAGAGAAUGUUAAGCUCCCAGCCUGGAUGAUUUGUUGGGCUCAGUGUAGGUCAGUCUUACCUGCAGCAUCUGACCAUGUGGGGCCUUGGAGAUCAAAAGCUCUUACUGUGAAAAUCCAAAGACGUUAUAAAUAGGUGGCAAUGCCAGUAUGCACCAAAAGAUACUGAAUGAACAAGGUACCAGUAGGCCACACAAUGGACAAGUGCAGAUACCGGGCCAAGGUUAUUUUGAAGGUUGAGGUUUUUUUCUUUUGUUUGCUUUGGGACUGCUUCAGGGUCAGGGAGGGGAAUCUCUGGACAGCCUGUCCCACCUCACUCUACCCUGCCUUUAGCUGUCAGGAGUUAGAAAAUGCCCAUUGGCACCUGCUGCUCUUUCAGGAAGGCCUGCCCACUCUCAGCAGGCCCAGCCCACAGACAUACAUUGUCUAUCUGUGUGGAAAUAAUAUACCCUAGGAGGAGAUUUUCUUGCAAAAAAACCCAACAAAAAAACAAAAACCUUUGUGCUGCAGCUGAGUUGCUUGGGACACAAAUUUAGAAAUUAAGACAAGUGAAAUAGGCUUUGUAAAAAAAAA